rnacentral:lncRNA from 1 species
UUACUCAUCGGUAUCUUCUUAUAUAAAAUCAAGAAGGUUCAAGUUUAUGAUCCUCUGGAAGCUUAUCCUCUAAAUAAUAUGUUAUUUAUCCUCUAAUAAGGUUUUCCCUCCUAACCUGUCAAGUUCAAAUAUAAGGAUAGCUGGCAUAAAGUAUACGAGGUACGGAGUAGCAAGCUAUAUAUGCAAUGUUGCGUAAUAUAAAAAAAAUGUACAUGAUAAGAACAAAGAUCGGAUACAUGCUAAGGUAGUAGCACAAAUCUUUUCGAUGUCUAUGUCUCAGAUAUUCAUGAAAGGCACAACACUACACUGCAAUGACUACAACAUCAAGAAAAUAUGUGUUGCAAAUUUCAAAUUCUAGUAUUCUACUUGCCUAUAUAAGCAACUUUUCAACACUCAACAAUGUAGAACAAGAAAGAUCAUCUUAAAUAUUUAUAGGU